rnacentral:tRNA from 1 species
GACCGUGUAGCUCAGUUGGAAGAGCAUUGGGCUAGUAUUCCAAAGGUCGUAGGUUCGAAUCCCACCAUGGCCG